rnacentral:lncRNA from 10 species
UAAUGGAACUUAAGAGCUAUCACUGUAUUUUAAGUGCUUUCUUUUUUAUGUUUAGAAAUGUUAAUUUCAUAAACAGCCAUAAAGUAAUUGAAAUAAAAAGAUACAUUGUAAAAGCUUUUUAUUUCUAUGAAACAACUUUGAUUCUAAUACCAAAUAGUUAUAUCGGGAAUGUGCUACGUUUGCUUUAUCUGUAAAAUGAGAGAUGUCAUUUUUCAAUUGGAGGCUAUGGAUUCCAAAUCUUCCAUGGAGUUACUUACGAGAUUCUGUACCCAUUUUAUUAUAAUUGCAAUUUUAAGAUGCAUUUCAUUUAUUUAAAAAUGUAUUUUUAAAAAUAAUAUGUACACUCUAAUUACCUGCCAGUUGGACAUCACAGAAUAAAGUUUUUCCACCAUCUCUGUGUAUAUAUUUGUACUAUUAAUAAAUGUACACUUGAUUAAAAACACAAA